GAGGGUAUAGCUCAGUGGUAGAGUGUGUGCUUAGCAAGCAUGAGGUCAUGGCUUCAAUACCCGGUACCUCUG
rfam:Camelus ferus unplaced genomic scaffold scaffold391, whole genome shotgun sequence.